rnacentral:rRNA from 1 species
AAUGAACGCUGGCGGCGUGCCUAACACAUGCAAGUCGUGCGCGAACGGGACCUCGGUUCCUAGUAGAGCGGCGAACGGGUGAGUAACACGUGGGUAACCUGCCUGGGAGUGGGGGAUAACCUGGGGAAACUCGGGCUAAUACCGCAUACGUUCCCGGGGCUUCGGCUCCGGGAGGAAAGAUGGCCUCUGCUUGCACGCUAUCUCUCCCAGAAGGGCCCGCGGCUGAUUAGCUAGUUGGUGGGGUAAUGGCCCACCAAGGCGACGAUCAGUAGCCGGCCUGGGAGGGUGAUCGGCCACACUGGAACUGAGACACGGUCCAGACUCCUACGGGAGGCAGCAGUGGGGAAUAUUGGACAAUGGGGGCAACCCUGAUCCAGCAACGCCGCGUGGGGGAUGAAGGUCUUCGGAUUGUAAACCCCUGUUGAGAGGGGCGAAGGUUUUCGGGCAAACAGUCCGGAAACUUGACGGUACCUCGAGAGGAAGCCUCGGCUAACUCUGUGCCAGCAGCCGCGGUAAAAC